UACGUAGGGGGCAAGCGUUGUCCGGAAUCAUUGGGCGUAAAGCGCGUGUAGGCGGUUCGAUAAGUCUGCUGUGAAAGUCCAGGGCUCAACCCUGGAAAGCCGGUGGAUACUGUCGGACUAGAGUGCGGAAGAGGCGAGUGGAAUUCCCGGUGUAGCGGUGAAAUGCGCAGAUAUCGGGAGGAACAUCAAUUGCGAAGGCAGCUCGCUGGGACGUUACUGACGCUGAGACGCGAAAGCGUGGGGAGUAAACAGG
rnacentral:rRNA from 1 species